CCCGUUCGCCGAAAGACCAAGGGUUCCAGUCCAACGUUAAUCGGGGCUGGGUGAGUCGACCCCUAAGGCGAGGCCGAAAGGCGUAGUCGAUGGGAAAAUGGUUAAUAUUCCAUUACUUCUGUGUAAUGCGAUGAGAGGACGGAGAAGGCUAAAUCAGCCUGGCGUUGGUUGUCCAGGUGAAAGGAUGUAGGCAUGUAUCUUAGGCAAAUCCGGGGUACUCUAUGCUGAGAUCUGAUAGCAAGCUGUACUUGUACAGCGAAGUGGUUGAUGCCAUGCUUCCAGGAAAAGUCUCUAAGCUUCAGUUACACAGGAAUCGUACCCGAAACCGACACAGGUGGUCAGGUCGAGUAGACCAAGGCGCUUGAGAGAACUCUGCUGAAGGAACUAGGCAAAAUGGUACCGUAACUUCGGGAGAAGGUACGCUGUUGUUGGUGAUGGAACUCGCUUCCUGAGCUGACGACAGCCGCAGAAACCAGGCCGCUGCAACUGUUUAUUAAAAACAUAGCACUCUGCAAACACGAAAGUGGACGUAUAGGGUGUGAUGCCUGCCCGGUGCUGGAAGGUUAAUUGAUGGGGUUAGCGUAAGCGAAGCUCUUGAUCGAAGCCCCAGUAAACGGCGGCCGUAACUAUAACGGUCCUAAGGUAGCGAAAUUCCUUGUCGGGUAAGUUCCGACCUGCACGAAUGGCAUAAUGAUGGCGGCGCUGUCUCCAGCAGAGGCUCAGUGAAAUCGAAAUCGCUGUGAAGAUGCAGUGUACCCGCGGCUAGACGGAAAGACCCCGUGAACCUUUACUGCAGCUUGACACUGAACUUUGACCUUACUUGUGUAGGAUAGGUGGGAGGCUUUGAAGCUGGAACGCUAGUUCCAGUGGAGCCGUCCUUGAAAUACCACCCUGGUAAUGUUGAGGUUCUAACUCUGUCCCGUGAUCCGGGACGAGGACCGUGUCUGGUGGGUAGUUUGACUGGGGCGGUCUCCUCCUAAAGAGUAACGGAGGAGUACGAAGGUGCGCUCAGCGUGGUCGGAAAUCACGCGUAGAGUAUAAAGGCAAAAGCGCGCUUAACUGCGAGACCCACAAGUCGAGCAGGUACGAAAGUAGGUCUUAGUGAUCCGGUGGUUCUGUAUGGAAGGGCCAUCGCUCAACGGAUAAAAGGUACUCUGGGGAUAACAGGCUGAUACCGCCCAAGAGUUCAUAUCGACGGCGGUGUUUGGCACCUCGAUGUCGGCUCAUCUCAUCCUGGGGCUGAAGCAGGUCCCAAGGGUAUGGCUGUUCGCCAUUUAAAGAGGUACGCGAGCUGGGUUUAGAACGUCGUGAGACAGUUCGGUCCCUAUCUACCGUGGGCGCUGGAAAUUUGAGAGGAUCUGCUCCUAGUAC
rnacentral:rRNA from 1 species